GACGGGAUGGGGGACAGGAGGGGUGAUAAAAGAGACAGGAGAGGUGAUAAGAGAGACAGGAUGGGGGACAGGAGGGGUGAUGGGAGAGACAGGAGAGGUGAUAGGAGAGACGGGAUGAGAGACAGGGGGGUGAUAAAAGAGACAGGAGAGGUGACAGGAAAGACAGGAUGAGGGACAGGAGGGGUGAUGGGAGAGACAGGAGAGGUGAUAGGAGAGACAGGUUGAGAGACAGGAGGGGUGAUAGGAGAGACAGGAUGGGGGACAGGAGGGGUGAUAAAAGAGACAGGAGAGGUGAUAAGAGAGACAGGAUGGGGGACAGGAGGGGUGAUGGGAGAGACAGGAGAGGUGAUAAGAGAGACAGGAUGGGGGACAGGAGGGGUGAUGGGAGAGACAGGAUGUGGGACAGGAGGGGUGAUGGGAGAGACAGGAGAGGUGAUAGGAGAGACAGCAGGGGUGAGAGGAGAGACAGGAGGGGUGAGAGGAGAGACAGGAGAGGUGAUAGGAGAGACAGCAGGGGUGAGAGGAGAGACAGGGGGUGAGAGGAGAGACAGGGGGGGGUGAGUAGAGACACGGGGGUGAUAGGAGAGACAGGAGGGGUGAUAGGAGAGACAGGAGGGGUGAGAAGAGAGACAGGGGGUGAGAGGAGAGACUGGAGGGGUGAGAGGAGAGACAGAAGGGGUGAUAGGAGGGACAGGAGGGGUGGUAGGAGAGACAGAAGGGGUGAUAGGAGAGACAGGAGGGGUAGUAGGAGAGACCGGAGGGGUAGUAGGAGAGACCGGAGGGGUGAGAAGAGAGACAGGAGGGGUGAGAGGAGAGACAGGG
ensembl:lncRNA